GCCUUUGUAUCGCUCACAGCUUCACAUCCGGGUAUCCGAGUGGUCUGAUUGGCGGCCGCCAUAUCCUAUCUCCGCUCCUUAGAUCGCCUAAUGGAAGGACCGCCUAAAUCUUGGAAUUCCCGCGGCGCCUCGGGGAGGGAGGAAGGGCGGGAGUUUGGUAGGUAGCGGGCUCAAGAAGGAUCUGCCCUACCCCCAGGCCUAGGAAAAAGGAGAAGCGCUAAUGAUUCCUCCAUUGUGUGGUAUUCAAAGGGGUGGCCACCCUGAGACGUUCCAGGGCCCUUGAAUGCCGGGGUCAAUGCAAUCAUCAAGGACGCAACCUUUAGGACACACUCUUUGUUCCUGAUCCUGACUGGAAUCUCCGAGGCCUCGACAUCUGGAUUAAAGUCUCUACAGGCCCUUCAAAGUGUACAGAAGGAGAUUUAGUCCCGGAUUCGUGCUGCCCACUCGGCCCCGGGGACGGACUUCCCCAUUAGUUUCAGCCUGGGGACUCUGUGUGGAUCCAGAAGUUCACUUCCAAGGGACUAGAACCCAAAUGGAAAGAACUCUUCACUGUCAACCUGACGACGUCCACUGCAGUUAAAGUAGACGGCAUCCCAUCAUGGAUUCAUCACUCCCACGUGAAGGCAGCACAAGAGUGGACAGCUCAGGAAGACGGGCCCUUAAGACUAAGACUCAAGUAUACAUAAGUCUAACUCCCUGUUUCUUCCUUUUUUCCUCUUUAGCCCAGGCAUUCGACCAGCCGCAACCAAAACCAGAAGGAGCAUUAAUAACUUUGCUAACGACAAUACACAAGGUCUUAAAUAAGACCACCCCAGACAUAAGACAAGAUUGCUGAUUGUGCCUAAACCCAAAACUCCCUUACUAUGUCAGGGUAGGAGCUCCCCUAAACUUAACUGACCUCAGCAGGCUAGAACUUCAAGUCGAUUCACUAGCAGAAGUAGUCCUCCAAAAUAGAA